AAGCUCGUAGUUGAAUUUCGGGCCUGGCUGGACGGUCCGCCCUUCGGGUGAGUACUGUCUGUGGUCGGGUCCUACCUUCUGGCGAAGCGUCAUGGCCUUAACCGGCCGUGGCGGGGAACCAGGACUUUUACUGUGAAAAAAUUAGAGUGUUCAAAGCAGGCAAUCGCUUGGAUACAUUAGCAUGGAAUAAUGGAAUAGGACAAUGGUUCUAUUUGUUGGUUUCUAGGACCGUUGUAAUGAUUAAUAGGGAUAGUUGGGGGCAUUAGUAUUCAAUUGUCAGAGGUGAAAUUCUUGGAUUUAUUGAAGACUAACUACUGCGAAAGCAUUUGCCAAGGAUGUUUUCAUUAUUCAAGAACGAAAGUUAGGGGAUCGAAGACGAUCAGAUACCGUCGUAGUCUUAACCAUAAUCUAUGCCGACUAGGAAUCGGGCGAUGUUGACAAAAUGACGCGCUCGGCACCUCUUGGGAAACCAAUGUGUUUGGGUUCCGGGGGGAGUAUGGUCGCAAGGCUGAAACUUAAAGGAAUUGACGGAAGGGCACCACCAGGGGUGGAGCCUGCGGCUUAAUUUGACUCAACACGGGAAAA
rnacentral:rRNA from 1 species